rnacentral:rRNA from 1 species
CUGGCGGCAGGCCUAACACAUGCAAGUCGAGCGCUCACUUCGGUGGGAGCGGCGGACGGGUUAGUAACGCGUGGGAAUAUGCCCGGUACUAAGGAAUAGCCUUUGGAAACGAAGAGUAAUACCUUAUACGCCCUUCGGGGGAAAGAUUUAUCGGUAUCGGAUUAGCCCGCGUAAGAUUAGAUAGUUGGUGGGGUAAUGGCCUACCAAGUCUACGAUCUUUAGCUGGUUUUAGAGGAUGAUCAGCAACACUGGGACUGAGACACGGCCCAGACUCCUACGGGAGGCAGCAGUGGGGAAUCUUAGACAAUGGGCGCAAGCCUGAUCUAGCCAUGCCGCGUGAGUGAAGAAGGCCUUAGGGUCGUAAAACUCUUUCGCCAGAGAUGAUAAUGACAGUAUCUGGUAAAGAAACCCCGGCUAACUCCGUGCCAGCAGCCGCGGUAAUACGGAGGGGGUUAGCGUUGUUCGGAAUUACUGGGCGUAAAGCGCACGUAGGCGGACUGGAAAGUUGGGGGUGAAAUCCCGGGGCUCAACCUCGGAACUGCCUCCAAAACUAUCAGUCUAGAGUUCGAGAGAGGUGAGUGGAAUUCCAAGUGUAGAGGUGAAAUUCGUAGAUAUUUGGAGGAACACCAGUGGCGAAGGCGGCUCACUGGCUCGAUACUGACGCUGAGGUGCGAAAGUGUGGGGAGCAAACAGGAUUAGAUACCCUGGUAGUCCACACCGUAAACGAUGAAUGCCAGUCGUCGGCCAGUAUACUUGUCGGUGACACACCUAACGGAUUAAGCAUUCCGCCUGGGGAGUACGGUCGCAAGAUUAAAACUCAAAGGAAUUGACGGGGGCCCGCACAAGCGGUGGACCAUGUGGUUUAAUUCGAAGC